GGAGUUAGCCGGUGCUUCUUCUGCGAGUAACGUCACAGAUGUAAGGUAUUAACUUACACCCUUUCCUCCUCGCUGAAAGUGCUUUACAACCCGAAGGCCUUCUUCACACACGCGGCAUGGCUGCAUCAGGGUUUCCCCCAUUGUGCAAUAUUCCCCACUGCUGCCUCCCGUAGGAGUCUGGGCCGUGUCUCAGUCCCAGUGUGGCUGAUCAUCCUCUCAGACCAGCUAGGGAUCGUCGCCUAGGUUAGCCUUUACCUCACCUACUAGCUAAUCCCACCUGGGCUUAUCCAUCAGCGCAAGGCCCGAAGGUCCCCUGCUUUCCCCCGUAGGGCGUAUGCGGUAUUAGCAGUCGUUUCCAACUGUUAUCCCCCACAAAUGGGCAAAUUCCCAGGCAUUACUCACCCGUCCGCCGCUCGUCAUCUUCAAAAGCAAGCUUUUGAAAUGUUACCGCUCGACUUGCAUGUGUUAGGCCUGCCGCCAGCGUUCAAUCUGAGCCAGAAUCAAACUCUGA
rnacentral:rRNA from 1 species